AGCGAACGCUGGCGGCAGGCCUAACACAUGCAAGUCGAACGGAUCCUUCGGGAUUAGUGGCGGACGGGUGAGUAACACGUGGGAACGUGCCCUUUGGUUCGGAACAACUCAGGGAAACUUGAGCUAAUACCGGAUGUGCCCUUCGGGGGAAAGAUUUAUCGCCAUUGGAGCGGCCCGCGUCUGAUUAGCUAGUUGGUGAGGUAACGGCCCACCAAGGCGACGAUCAGUAGCUGGUCUGAGAGGAUGAUCAGCCACACUGGGACUGAGACACGGCCCAGACUCCUACGGGAAGCAGCAGUGGGGAAUCUUGCGCAAUGGGCGAAAGCCUGACACAGCCAUGCCGCGUGAAUGAUGAAGGUCUUAGGAUUGUAAAAUUCUUUCAGCGGGGAAGAUAAUGACGGUACCCGCAGAAGAAGCUCCGGCUAACUUCGUG
rnacentral:rRNA from 1 species